CCUACUGGUGGCUGCAGUGGGGAAUAUUGGGCAAUGGGCGCAAGCCUGACCCAGCAACGCCGCGUGAAGGAAGAAGGCUUUCGGGUUGUAAAAUUCUUUUCUCAGGGACGAAGAAAGUGACGGUACUGGAGGAAUCAGACACGGCUAACUACGUGCCAGCAGCCGCGGUAAUACGUAGGGGGCAAGCGUUAUCCGGAUUUACUGGGUGUAAAGGGCGUGUAGGCGGGAAAGUAAGUCAGAUGUGAAAACAAUGGGCUCAACCUGUGGCCUGCAUUUGUAACUGUUUUUCUUGAGUACUGGAGAGGCAGACGGAAUUCCGAGUGUAGCGGUGAAAUGCGUAGAUAUUAGGAGGAACACCAGUGGCGAAGGCGGUCUGCUGGACAGCAACUGACGCUGAGGCGCGAAAGCGUGGGGAGCAAACAGGAUUAGAUACCCCUGUAGUC
rnacentral:rRNA from 1 species